UGGAUAGUAGCUCUCCAGGACCGGAGUUGGAGACCUCUGCUGUAGAUCCUAGGCCUUUCCAGUCAAGGGUCAUUGUAGAUCUAUCACUUUACUUAACUUUCAGGAGUAAUAAAGUUCAUCCAUCUACACAUCUAUUUAAAAAAUCAGGGAUUUAUGUUUGCAUUCAGGAAAGCAGCUAUGACCUUCCGCUUUCCUGAAAACCAAUAGGAAGGGCUUUAUUAUCUUAGACCUCAUCAUAUACAGAUAACAGCAUGCGAACAGUCUGUUGAUCUACAAAUUCAACUUUAUGGCUUUUUAUGACACCAAUGUGGCUUUUGCCUGUGCACGUCAUGCCGGAUUGCUGGAUGUAAGAUAUUUUGCAUAUGAGCAAAGCUCCUCCCCCAACCCCCAAAAAAUAAAAGCAGGCGCAAACUCCCAGAAAGUAUUGGAGUAAAAACCUAAGGUGACAGACGAGAAAGACGGAAAACUGGAUUAUCCCAAGUGGAACUCAGGGCCUGUUGAGGGAAUCAUGCUUGGAAGGUUCUGCGUUCUGCUGUGUGCAGGUGAGGUGUCCAUCUUACACUUACUCGGACGUCUCUUCUGAAUCUGGGGGCUCUCAUUCCUGCCUAGGUGUUCCUGUUGCUCUCUUUAUUUCAAUUUCAGCAGUUUAUGUCGUAUUCGCAAGCACCACGAUGACCCCUACAACAAUAUCGAUGACGUCCUCAAACCAAGCGAGUCUCGCAAAUGGGCACAGCAGUACUGACAUCAGUGGACUCUUCCUCCUCGGACACGAAAACCAGUCCAACAACCUCCAAUCUGACAAAUCCAUCUGAUGACCAGACCCCAGAAGAGGGGACCACUGAAGGACUGUCACCUGGAGAAGCGGCAGGGGUGGCUGUUGUCGGUGGGGGAAUUUUUGCUGCUCUGAGUUCAGCAGAAGAGUUGGCAACUAGCUGCAGCUGCCUUGCAAAUGCCUCUGAGCUGCAAAGUCAUUUCUGGUAUUGGCCAAAUGUUCCCCAACAGGAGCAUGACAUCAUUAUUGAUUGAACCUUCAAGAACGGUAAUGUUAAGGAGACUCCAAAAUGACUCUAGAUCAGAUUCAGUUUGAUGCUGAACAAAAAUAGGAUGUAAUCACAAAACUAAGUCUUAUUCUGUCCACUUGUUGUACUUACUGGCUACUUUUAAGGCUGUUUCAAGGUCCAGGUCCAGUUUUAAUAAUGCUGGAUUCAAAUCCUGUGGAUGACAGAGUGAAAUACCCCCAAAAUGCUUGCCCACUUUCAACAGAACACCCAUCUACCUCAGCUUAUGUCUGUGCUUAAUGGCAUAAGCAGCUCAGAAAUCAGUAGUCUGUGUGUUGAUUGUCAUUCCUAAAUGAUUAAGCUUGAUUUUCAAUUAUCCACAGCGUCACAGAAAUCCAGCUUUUAAUUCACAGUUAAUAUAUACCUCGUUCCACAAUUCAGAGAUGAAUAAAAUAGAAAUGUCACUCAUAUGGCUGUACAUCCAAAAACAUCACGGCAUAUAAACUUAUUUCUGAGAAGCCAUCUGCACAUUUAUAGCCAAUGACUUAGCAGAAAACAACACUGUAUCAUGGCAUCGGCAAUGAACAUUUCAGUUUUAUAAAGUAGCGAUUAUCAAAAAGAUGCUAACAUUGUGUCAAUUUCAUUACUGUAAUAUCAUUAGAGAAUAUAUUGUGACUAGUAUAUAGUUAACGCAAUGUACUAAGAUUACAUCAAAACAGUCCCUUCGAGCUGUAUCAUCUCAGGAGGCACCAACAGGAAACACAGAAAAUGACUUAACUGAGGACGGCUCCGAUGGCAAAACAGCCGAGCUAGAGAGCUCGCAUAUUGCAUGGCCAUUGGAAACAGGGUGAUUGGCACCAGGGCGGUCCCAGGACAGAGCGCCUGAGAAAGCACAAUGUCGAUGCUUGGUCCCAGCUAGCGCCACACAUCGACCUAACUGCGCAGUUGCGCUAAAUAUUUAUUACUCUCUUAACAGCUGAUUUCUGAACCGGAUCCAGUUUCAUCCAGUAGAGUAACUUGAUUAUUCACUAGGAUGGAAAUCCAAAGGCGGGGGGCAAAAGGUGAUAAAAGGGGAAAGGCUUUACCAGGAUGGGGUUUCUUUUGAGUAGCAAUAAACGAGGCACAUUUAAUUUCGUGCUUUAUAUAACAGCAACAAUGACAGAUAAUGAUAAAUCUGUAACUUGAUUCAUAUAUAAUGAAAUGCCGUUUAACUAUGGAUGCUAACGGCAUUUCUAUCAUGCUGACGAAAACAAGUUAAAGAGCGUCAUUGUGUAGAUGGAUAAAAUGAACAUCCCUUUACCUGUACGCACAGAAAUUAGCGACUCACCACGAAUACGCAAAAGAAAAGCGGACUUGCCGCAGAAUAGGGCGGGGAAAUCGAUAUAUACACGAAUCUGACCACGUCUGAUUGACAACGUUAUUAACCAAUGACAUGCCAAGUCAGCAACAGCCUAGCGGAAAACAACUCAGGUUAAUCAUGCUGCAGGCGUAUCGAAAUUAAUACAACAGACCUGUAAAUAACGUCUGCGUAAGGGGCUCCUAUAGCCAUUUCUGACAAUGCGAAUGACUGAAAGACAAAACACCAUCGCCUUGUAAAUUCUUCGGUGAAAAUACUGUUCUUACAUUAUGUUUUUAUAGAAUUUGCGCAUUCUAGUGGACAUGAGUAGAAAUUGCACAUCAGGCUUCCAACUAUCCGUCUUCGAACCGCAUAUCCUGGCAGGGGUAAUGGGUAGCCUGAAAUUUACUAGUGCAUAUCAGCGCAGACACACACAGCAUACACUACAGGACCUUCACGGCCUGAGGACUCGGAUGAGGAAGCAUCCAAUACGGGUGGAACGUCAGAUGCUGGUGUUUCGUGUGAGAGGCAGU